CAGUAGCCGCGGGAAUACGAAGGGGGCUAGCGUUGUUCGGAAUUACUGGGCGUAAAGCGCGUGUAGGCGGGUCUUUAAGUCAGAGGUGAAAUGCCAAGGCUCAACCUUGGAACUGCCUUUGAUACUGGAGAUCUUGAGUCCGGGAGAGGUGAGUGGAAUUGCGAGUGUAGAGGUGAAAUUCGUAGAUAUUCGCAAGAACACCAGUGGCGAAGGCGGCUCACUGGACCGACACUGACGCUGAGGCGCGAAAGCGUGGGGAGCAAACAGGAUUAGAUACCCCUGUAGUCCCUGUCUCUUAUAA
rnacentral:rRNA from 1 species